rnacentral:rRNA from 1 species
UACCCUGUUAUUUUAUAAUUACAGAAUAUCCUAAGAAAUUUAUAAUCAAAAAAUUUUGACGGUAUUAAUAUUUAUAAAGGAGUUUGUUUUUUAAUAGAUAAUCCGCAAUUUACCUUACUUAAUAAUAUUUGUAUAUCACCGUAUAGAUUUUAUUAAAUUUCAAAAUGAAUAAUUUCAAAAUAUCAGGUCAUAACGCAGUUUUUUUAAGAUAAAAUGAACUACAGUAAUUUAUUAUUAACAGAUUAUUUUUUGAAAUAAAAAUAUGAAGAAGGAUUUAUUAGUAAAUAUAAAAUAGAAUAUUUUAUUGAAAAUUAUUAUUAAUAUG